rnacentral:rRNA from 1 species
UACGAAGGGUGCAAACGUUGCUCGGAAUUAUUGGGCGUAAAGCGCACGUAGGCGGCUUAGCAAGUUGGAUGUGAAAUCCCUCGGCUCAACCAAGGAAGUGCAUCCAAAACUGCUGAGCUUGAGUACUUAAGAGGAGCGCGGAAUUCCCGGUGUAGAGGUGAAAUUCGUAGAUAUCGGGAGGAACACCAGUGGCGAAGGCGGCGAUCUGGGAAGAUACUGACGCUGAGGUGCGAAAGCGUGGGGAGCAAACAGG